UACGAAGGGGGCUAGCGUUGCUCGGAAUCACUGGGCGUAAAGGGUGCGUAGGCGGUUCUUUAAGUCAGGGGUGAAAUCCUGGAGCUCAACUCCAGAACUGCCUUUGAUACUGAAGAUCUUGAGUGCGGGAGAGGUGAGUGGAACUGCGAGUGUAGAGGUGAAAUUCGUAGAUAUUCGCAAGAACACCAGUGGCGAAGGCGGCUCACUGGCCCGAUACUGACGCUGAGGCACGAAAGCGUGGGGAGCAAACAGG
rnacentral:rRNA from 1 species